rnacentral:misc_RNA from 1 species
CCGAGUUUACAACUCCCAAACCCAAUGUGAACAUACCCCUAUGUUGCCUCGGCGGGACCGCCCCGGCGCCCUCGGGCCCGGAACCAGGCGCCCGCCGCAGGACCACAAACCUCUGUUUUUGUUAAGAUUUCUCCUCUGAGUGGAUUUUACAAAUAAAUCA